rnacentral:rRNA from 1 species
GACGAACGCUGGCGGCGUGCCUAAUACAUGCAAGUAGAACGCUGAAGGAGGAGCUUGCUUCUCCGGAUGAGUUGCGAACGGGUGAGUAACGCGUAGGUAACCUGCCUGGUAGCGGGGGAUAACUAUUGGAAACGAUAGCUAAUACCGCAUAACAGUAGAUGUUGCAUGACAUUUGCUUAAAAGGUGCAAUUGCAUCACUACCAGAUGGACCUGCGUUGUAUUAGCUAGUUGGUGAGGUAACGGCUCACCAAGGCGACGAUACAUAGCCGACCUGAGAGGGGGAUCGGCCACACUGGGACUGAGACACGGCCCAGACUCCUACGGGAGGCAGCAGUAGGGCAUCUUCGGCAAUGGACGGAAGUCUGACCGAGCAACGCCGCGUGAGUGAAGAAGGUUGUCGGAUCGUAAAGCUCUGUUGUAAGAGAAGAACGAGUGUGAGAGUGGAAAGUUCACACUGUGACGGUAUCUUACCAGAAAGGGACGGCUAACUACGUG